GAGGUUGGGAAGCAGGGGCACUCGGGAGGGGUGAAGUAACCCUGGGAAGACGUUCCUUCUUCUUUGACAGGUUCGGCGAUGUUCCAGGCAAAGGCAUCUCUGUCGCCGGGAGGUCUUUUCGAAAUCAUGUGGGGGCUGCUAUUACAUAUGCAGCCGCCUCUUUGGGUGCCCAGUCCGGGAUGUGGUGGGUGCGGCGCGGGAGAAACGCCGCCGCCCGCCGCCCCCUUCCUUCGGAUGUUGAGGCGGGUUGUUCGUGUGAACUCGAGCGAACGACUGGAGGUUGGCUGUUGCAGGUUCACUCCUUCAGGAUGUGGGUUUCAGGGGGCGUUUUGAUGUGAUUUAAUUCCGACCGUGAAACAAUUGCUAGGGGCUGGCUGGAUUGCUGUUGGUUUUUCCCCUCUUGGUGGCUUUGGUUGGUUUGGGUUUAGUUUGGGAGCGAACAGAGACUUGUUUUAUAUCAACACUUCCCUCAGUGCCGGGCGCCGUCGCCGGCGCUGCGCGUGGGGGACCAGGCGCCCACCCCGAGCCGGAACCGAGGAGGGGGGAGCGGAGACGGGCCUCGCAGUCCGCAGGGUAAACGGGGCCCAGCCCCCCGCGGGUGCGGGCAGGGGAACUAGGAGAAUGACCUCCACCCCCUGCAGAGACCCCUCCCCCCGGCGAUUUUGCUGCCAAGUCGACUCGGCUACAGACACUCAAGCCCCUUUGUGUGACUAAAUUUGGCAAGAAUAUGGAUCCGAGCCAGUGUUUCCACGUGUGCUCCCAGCUCCCAGCUGAGAAGGCCAAGGGUUCUCUUCCGGGACUCCCCCGUAACCCUCCAGAAGGCAUAACCUGCCCUGAGGCUCCAGUGGUAGAAGAGACUGACUUCCUCCCUAGAGUUUACACUCUAGCAGCGGGAAGCAAACAUGCAAACAGAAAGACAGCUUGGUGUGGUGUGUGCAACCAUGGGCAGGCCGGCUAGCGCAGUGUGCAUUUAAAGGGAAAACCAGUUAGGCUAUUAAGGGAAGCUCUCAACAAGGAGCAGAGCGAGAGAAGGCAGGGUUUCAGAGAGAAUAGCUGUGCCCCGUCAAAGCGAACCGGCUUCCACACAGACAUGGGAUAGUACACAAGACGAAGGGAUGCAAACGUGCUCUUUGAUGUGUUAUUCUCGAGGACUAGAGAGGAUAAAGAUGGAAUACUCAUUGGGCCUAGUUCUCCAGACGGGCUGAAAAUGCAGCGGGGCUGCGUAAAACCCAUUAGGAGAAGGCGAAUCUAGUUUACUCAUCCAGACUGGAUAUGUCACAUUAGCACUUUCUUGACUCAAGGUAAGGCAGACAGAUGGAAAGAACAUGAGACUACUCCACAAAUUUAACUCACGCUUUACUUUAACCAAGAGAGAAAAAUGGACAGGCGGAAAAAGGAAAGGCAUACACCAAACCAUCUGCUUUUAUAAUAUAUUAAUCAUAAAUGCAAACAAAUAUUUGUGUUUUAUCUGCAUUUCGUUAGCUGGAAACAAAGCCCACGAUUCCAGAAGUGGCACCUUUAGCUCAAGCACGCAGUGACGAUGAAACAGUAGUUGCUCUGUCAAAUAAAACAGAUC